ensembl:lncRNA
GCUGAAACAUAUUGUCUAUGUUAUUGAAUAGACAAUAAUGAUAGAUGUUACAUAUUUGAGUCCUACAGAAACAGAAAUUAUAGUCCUACCAUAAGGGAAAAAGGCGGAGGCUGAAAUUACGGUCUUGCUCAAGACAAGAAAAAUCAAAUCAUAUUGAUCAACAACCAAAGAGAAGCAGUGAAAUGUAGAUUUCAUUUCUGCCUAAAUCCUACCUGUAUAUUACAUAAAAAUGGGAAAAUAAUGAAAAUGUGCUUUAGAAAGAUAAGUUAGGCGUUAAGAGGAAAGGGAGAAGAAUGACUUACUGAAAAAAGUCAGGGUUGUUAUUUCAGUAUGAUUAUAUAUUUACUUCAUGUGACAGCUUUGGCUUCCAGGCAAAUGGUGGUGUUAGCAUAUGUUUGUUUACACUCUCCCCAAACGCCACUAAAAUGCUGAGAAACAAAAAAAUAAGGUUGCGAAGGAAAAGAGAAUUGGAGAAAAAAGCACCACACAUAGGAAAUGUCAAAAAUGUUCAGUUUGAAAUCUGACGAACAAAUGUUAACUGACUUCACAGGUCAGAGAAAGCUAAACCCUGAACUUGGUGGGCGAGUGUUGGUGGGGGGACAACAGGAAGCAACUGAGAAGUAACUCAGAACCUGUGAACCUCACUGGAGACUCAGUGGUUACAGGGUUCAGGACUUCUCUGGAGACAAAAGGAAAGAGGAGUGUGAAAACUGAACUUUUACAGGCAUAACGCACAGUGAUGAACUUGAAUGUUUUUGUCACAAGAAAGAGAUGGAGUUACUUUUGUUUCAUGUAGAGUUAUGUAAUCAUUUCUGAACCAUGGAGCCAGUACUUUAGCUUAUAAAUGUCUAGCAUUUUCUUAAAAAGUUAAUAAAUUAUUAUGCCGUGUGUUUUCAUUCAUUCACCAACAGACACAUCCUCCCUCCUCUUGUUCAUGGUCUAUGAUUAUUGCUAUUGUGUUCCUCUAUGCCUACUUCUCACAAUUAGUGUUUUUUUCUCCCACAUCCUAUGAUUUAUCUUCGCAUUUGCUAAUACUCCUAGCAUCUUAUCUAUUGGUAAUACAAUCUAUUCUUCUAAAUUAAUAUCCUGAAUUCAGAAUUCUCUCUUAAGCUCUGGACUAAUGUUUCUCAGAGAGUGAUUCUCAGAUUAUUCUGAUCACCUAUGACCUAAGAAACUUGUGUCAAAAUGUAAAUGAACUCUGUCACUAAGCCCCUAAACACAGUUCAGAUAACUCUUCUUUUUUGGUAGUAACAUGUGCUUGAUGAAAGAUAGAGUGUGCUACUCAUUUACUUUCUGAUACAAACUCCGCUCUUUGAGGACAAGAACUUUGGGUAGCAUUGCUUUAGUGCCAUAUCAUAUUGUCUAUCAGAUACCUUUAAAUAGUUGUCCACAGUACCUUAAGUUCAGUGUUUUUUUAAAUUAAAGUAAUUCUGUUCAUUUCCCCUAUGAUAUGCUCCCUCAUUAAGCGAUAGGAACAUUGCAAUAAUGAAUGUUACCUUGUUCCUUAAUGAAUUUUUUGAUGAAUGAUAAUAACCGUAAAUACCAAAACAUAGUGGUAGUAUUUCUUCUUGUCUUUCCUAUCACCAUACCAUCUUCUACAAUUUUAUCUUUCUUUUAAUGAUCUCUUAAAUAAGUCACCAUCACCAUAUCCCUUGGAUAC